UGGCUGCACUGUGUUAAUGGGCAGGACCUGACUCCCAGGCAAGCGCAUUCUGCUUUUUUAUUCCUUUUAGCUUAGUUUAGUUUCUUCGGCCCCUCUCUGUCACUAUGCAUACAGAGCUGGAUAAACGCCUGCCUGUCUGUGCAAGUGUUUUAUUUGGUUCUGCAGGCUGGGUGUUGGAGUUGAAGUAGUCUCAAAAUCAGAGAACAAAGUGUACAGCUGUACAGGCAGGUAAAACAAACAGAGCUCUUUACGCUUCAGUGCAAUAUAUCUUUGCCCAGCCUUACACCAAUGAUAAUCCUUUUUUGCACAGUGGUCCACAAAGUAAUGGAAUCUGACUUCAGCAAUUUUUCACGUAAGCGAUACUACAUUUGCUGCAUAUGUCUACAGGGAACUAAAUUUUCAGUGUAGCUGCUCAGAAAUUUAGUUUACUGUGCUGCUUGCUAUGCUAAAAAUGAUCUCAUUUAAGAAUGGGUAAAAACCUUUUCAUUUUAUUAGAGUCACAGCUGGUUUUAUUUUAAUAUGCAAGCAUCUUCAACUUCCUAGAGGAAUAUUUGUAUCUGGAAAUGAGAUAGACCUUAGUAAAGCUGUAAAUAACAAGUGAAUAUCAAAGGCCGACCACCCUUCUGAUACUGGGGAAGAGUCUUAAAUGUGUGCGACCAGUUAUAGGACAUUUGGACAACAUGACAAUUAACUCACAGUAAACUCUUUGUUGGUCAUAAGUAAAUAAUCCCUCUACAAAAUAAACAACAGUUUGGCUGAUUUGAGUCAAGAAAAUUGCAUCUCAUCCUAAAAGGAAUCCACGCUGCAUGAGGAUGAAAUGAAGAAAAGAAAAGUGAAAACCACCUCAGCACCCGGGUAUGAGGCAUCCUUGUGUGCAGUCUAUCAGCGUGCAAGAUGUUGAAUUUAUCUGUGGGAACACAUGAAGAUUAGCAAUGUCCUCCUUUGUGCUUUGAGUUCAUGAAUCAUUGUCAGCUGCUUACUAAAUAUAACCUCUUAACACUGCUUGGACUUGUAGUCAUGAUGGUUACAUGGUGAGAUGACUAGAGACAGCAUAAACACUGCAACCUUAAAAUUCAUGCUAUAUGUAUACAUAUAUCUUCUGGUCUGAGAGAAUAAUUUUCUGAUUUACAUGUUGUUUCAUAUUUUCACUUCAUGAAGCACUGCAGUCUAGAGGGUUUCUGUGCAGCUUUCUGAUAUAAAUGGACCUGUAUUUUGUAUGUCACAUAAAAUGAAUAUUAAUAAUAAAUUUAAAAAAAUGCAAAGGCC